GCCGGGGUGGCGGAAUUGGUAGACGCACCAGACUCAAAAUCUGGCGUUGGCAACGACAUGCGGGUUCGAUUCCCGCCCCCGGCACCA
rnacentral:tRNA from 1 species